GUCUUCUGCACUCCUCCUACUAGGGAUUCAGCCACAACCCAGCCAUGUGCCCUGACCCGGAAUCCAGCCUGUACCUCUUGGUUCAACACUCAACCACUUAGCCACACUGGCCUGAUUAGGCCACUGUUUCUUAAUUGAGAUUGCAAAUCAGACUUAUUGAGGUUUUAUAAAUGUACAGAAAUCUUGGCACUACUCUGGACUUUCUGAAUCACUUUACUUGAUCUUGAUAUAAAAUAAUGUCUCAGGAUUAUAUUAAAUCUUAAAAUACUUUAUUCUAUAGAAAUGCAUUCAUUUUUAUAAAUCACAUACAAUAAUCACAGACUUAUUUGAGAAUAGUUUUAAUCAUUAUCCUUAAAUGAGACAUUUUAUCUAGAAUCGGCUUGGAAUGGGUUUUUUGUAUUGCAUGAUAUAGAAACAACUAAAUUUCCUUUUUAGUUGCAUUAUUAUAAGUCCUCUUCAGAUCUUUCAUAUUAGAAACUUAUAAUAGUUGCCCUCAAAAGUAUUGCUUUUUAUUUCUAGUGGCUGUCAGUGAAUAUUUGCAUAUCUGAAUUACAUAACAUUUAAAAGUUUUAAUAAAAAGCGUGAGUGACAAAAUAAAAUUAGAUAUCUGUAACCUUGAAGCUCUAGUAAUCAAUAGAAUUUUCCUAAUUAAGAAGCAUUGAUAAAGUCCUUCCACAUCUGAUGACUUUGGCAGGUACAGCUUCUAUAUGGAAGUAAUUUUUAAUUUUUCAUAUGUAAAGUCCUAGUAUUACAGAAAAUAAAGCAUGAAAAUUUAAGAUAUUUUGACCUGUAAUGGAAAUGAUUCCAUUUUCUACAUUAAUAAUAUAAGGCCAUCCUUGAUUAUCAGAUUUAAGUUAUUUUCUUCAAUAUAAGAAACUUGUGUAAAAGUGGCUAUGUUAUCAAAUAUUUUUCUGGUACGUUAUAGUAAUUCUUCAAGACACAUCUUGGAUUAUCUCACAUUUGUCAUAUGUGGGUGAUUUCUAAGUACAUGGCAGGAUUUUGAUCAAUGAAACUAAUAUUUUAUUGAAAAAAGAUAAAACUAUAUUUACUUUUGUCUUAAUGUCUAUAAUUUUAUGAACUGAAAAUUCAAAGGAAUAGAAUAAGUAGAAAGUAACUAAUUCAAUUUGUUUUCUAUGGUAUAGUUUUAAUGUUUCUUUGAAAAUUUAUUUUGCAAAUAUUAUCAUAAUGAUAAUAACCAAAAUUUUGUCACUGAAAGAAUUACGCAUUCAUUUUUCACAGUUGACUAUUAGUGAAAUUUUGUGUGUGUGUGUUUUCACUUAAAAUAUAGCUAUCAUUAUUUUAAUUUAUAACUAUUUUUUAGUAUAGAAAGUGAUUAACUAUUUGUAAUAUUUUUCAGUGUUAUGUUAUAAUUUGAGAAUAGAAGAGGUUAGGAUUUAGCUGAAGUUGGAAAAUAAAAUUAUAUUUUGAUUAAAAUCUAACUUGAAAAAAAGUUUUAAUCAAAUUGGACCUUUAAAAUUUUUAUUUUGGUAAUAACAUAUUUCAGUUUAAUUUGUAUUAAAAUGGUAGCUAGUGUACUAAUUAUUGUUAAAAUGCUUUUUUUGAUGUUUCUUCUCUUGGAAAUAUUUUGCAAUAUUCUAUUAGCAAUGUGUUUGAAGAUUCACUGGGCUCACCUACAAAUUCAGCAGAUACUUUUGCAUUUUGAAGGGAAAAAUUUAUCUGUGAUAAGACAUUAUUUUGCUCUUCAGAAUGUUAAAAUUAAAUUAUACUAAUGAACACUUUAGAUACUGGUUUUGGUAAGGAAAUACCAGUUGUCAGACUUAACUGAAAAGAAUUUCAACCUCUUAGUUUCUUAUUUAGGGAUUACAGAGAAUAACUAUUUCUUCCUUUGGGAUUUUGAUUGCUUUUCUUAGAUAACUUUUAAAUUAUUUAAUUAUAAUAGUUUCUAUAUUUCCCCCCAAAUUAUGGCAUAUUAUAGUAGAUCUUUUUAAAAUCUUUUCUAUUUUAGACUUUUUUUUCUUAUUCUAUUCUAUUACUGCUUUCUGUGAUUCAUAAAUACCAUAACCAAAUUUUUUUUGUGUGGCUACUAUUUGUUUUAUAGUUAGCUUUACAUAAGAAAAAUUGUUAGUAAAUUAUAGGGUUGGUCUGUUCUCCAGAAACUUCUAACAAGAAUGGCUUUUCUUCCCCCAACUGUUUGCUUUUAAAGACUUUGAGGAAAAUUUUUGCAGAAAUGGAUCUAUUAAGACAGAAAAUUAUCAAACAAAUUAUUUUUCUUUAUGUCAGUUUUUUGGGACCCAGAUUAAAUGGAAGCAUUUCAGUGUUAUCACAGACGGUGACAGUGACUCAGAUAUGUGUGUGUGUAUACAUCAUGCACAGAGUCAUUUCAGAGGAGGAUAACUGAAAAUCUGAAAUGACAUUUAAAAAACUGGCAAUGUGUGCUGCUACUUAAAUAUUUAAUAAAUAAAGUUAUAUAGUUCCUUCUCAUUUUUUCUACUGGAAUGGACCAUGGAAAAAAAUACUAAGCCUUAUUUAUAUAUCUAAUUGACUGUGCAAACUGUGACUCAGUGAGUAUUUGUAUGCCAAAAAAGAUUUUAAAGUUGAGAAAGUUUUAAACGUAAUAAGGAUGUGUAAAUAAUUUUGAUUAAUAAUCAUAAUGAAGUUACUGUUAAUUUGGUGCAAUACAUUCUUCCUUUCCUCAUCCUUUUAAAUUUAAAUAUAUAAGAUGUAUGUUUUGUUUGUUACAUCAAGUGCUGUUUUAAAAUUUUUCAGUGUGUAUAUGAGCUAAUGUUUUAUUUGUUUCUGUAUAGUAUGAUUGAAGAUAAUAAUUGAAAAUUGUGCACUUUUUUUAGUCCUUUGGAAAUUUGUAUUCUAAAAGUUUUUAAGAAUGUACAUUUAUUUUGUAUAUAGUUCACUUUGUACAUGAAAAUGGAUUUGAAUCAAAUUAAAAAAUGAUGUUACUUUCUU